GGCAACACGUACUUUUCACGACCAAUUCCACAGUGAUAUUAGUGAGAAAAAAGACACUCGUUCUAUCGACGAAUCGACGUUAUAUUGAAGCCAUUUUUUUCUAUUUAUUAUUCCAUCGAAAACGCGCGAGCACGUUCUCAGGCAACGGGAAUGAGUUUAACUGCAUCGCCAGUAAUUUUUGAAGCUCCGAAAUCGCGAAUCGGAUUUUUAUACUGAUUAUUCCCACCCUCCCCCUCCCGCCAUCCUUCCUUUUGUCUUAUCGUCGCUCCGCUAUAUCGAAAGGUCGACGAGGAACGUUCGGCCCCCCCAAUUCCUCAAUCCUACGCAAUGGCGACGCCCCGACAAGCUGGUCAGAGGGAGAAAGAGAGCAGCGAGCCUCGAAAAACGACCAACAGUCAGACUUGGACUCUCCCGCACGCAGACUCGAGAAGAUGCGCGCCGACGCGCCAGAAUCCAACGAGCCAACGCACAAACGGUUCUACGGGAUCGCGGCUACUGGGAGUGCUUCGUACACUAGUGUCACACGUCACUCGUCGAGUUAAACAACUUUCGAUAUCAAAGCAUCAUCAUCGUCACAACAACAAUGAUUCUCGCAUAAUCGAUCACGUUAUCGGAGCUUAUCUGCGUUAAGUUUGCUGUCAUAACGAGAGGGAAAUACGAACGAACAUUACCACGGAGAACGAGCUUCGGGAAUCACGUGGAGCAGCUUCCUGGCGCAGGAUGAAUGGCAGUUUCGUGACAACGAGUGAUCUCACAAGUUCCGAGAAGCGCCAUAAAAUGAGAACGAGAGGAAGAGAGAGGUGGAGGGAGAGAUAGGGAGCAAUGUGGUGACGCGGGAAGGACACGGACCUAUAUAUUCGGUAAACUCUGACGUUGGAACGAAGGGAGAAACGAGAUGCCGGCUGGCGAGCAGAUGGUUGUGUCCCCGUUUAUUGGUUUAUUCGUUGGUAUACUGGCGACCGACUGCUUCUAUACAUUCGUGCGUAUGUACGUACAUAGAAUAUGUACAGAUACAGUUUGGCCCGCCCGAAAGCAACGAGACGAGAAGUGAGUCUCUUUGUGUCGACUGACUGGACCUAGUUUAAGGCGAGCCAAGUCCUAUCAUUCAUGAGCCAACUUCAACGGGGGGGACGAGCGCCACGAGUUACAUUUGGACGAUGGUAGAGCAAGAGAAAUGUGGACAGAGCCAGGGAAAAGCGUCAAAAGGUUAUGAGCGCAAAAAUUCUAGCAUGAGGUUGUGCAGGAGCAAGAAAGAGCUGGAGGAGGUUCGAUCGAUGGAAAAGCUCUCGAAAGCGUUCGUUGCCGGAGCUGAGAAAGGCGAGUGAAGGAACAAUUUCGAGGGAGGAAAUUAUAUACCGUAGGGUACCGAUACGAUGACACGUUGACCAAGUAACCUGGAGAGAAUUACAGAGAAGCCGAUGGUGCAUCGUCACGAGGAUCUGAUCGCGAAGCUGUUAAGCGACGCAUGGGAGAACGGAAAGAGUUGUACCGCUAAGAUGAGACGAGAAACUCGACCUUGCUUACGAUUCGGCUGUGUCAUCCUCGAGCCGUUAAUGGAGCGAACGAGAGGAUGCUCGUCUCGGCAGUUCCGAGCACCAACAGUCAAAUCAAUCACGAUGCACACAUCGAUAUCUGAACAUAAAUAUUUAUCUCUGUAUUCGUGUAUGUGUGUGCAUGCAGCACAUAUCGACAGUGCAGGUGUAUGAGCGCAUUACUCUCUCGAUCUUUCUCUUUCUCCCUCAUUGUGCUGGGAUAGCCCCGAGAUCGUGUUUGCACCUCAGGAUCGAAGUCACCGAGGGAAAAUGAAAGUUCUUGCAGCCGAAUGAAAGAGAAAUUUCCCAGUCCACGGAAACGGAAACUCGAUUCGACAAAAAAGAGAAGAGCAUCGAAGAAGAACCCGUUUAACAAUUACUGGGCCAACUGUCAAAUUUGCAUACUUCGUGAGCAAAAAAAGUGAUUCCGGAGAGGAGACGAUAACUGGACGGAAGCAAUGUGUAAACUAAGUAUUAUUAUUAAUGGAAAGAAGAAGGCCCAGUUAAUGCUCUACAUCUACCCUGUAGAUCCGAAUUUGUUUGAAAAUAGGCGACAAAUUCGGUUCUAGAGAGGUUUGUGUGGUGCAUACAGUGCAACGAUGGUCUGAAAAACAUUUUAAAAAGUACGAUCGACGAAAGAAGUGUUCGCAGCACGAAAUAUUUAUAGGAUAAUGAAAUGCAGUUAAAUUUAUGAAAUUUGAGAGUCCACUGAUGGAACGUCGAUUGAAGGAGGUGAUUUUUGCAAAGUUCUACCAACAAUAACAAAGUCCUCAGGAUCUCUGAAUUUCCAGGAACGAAGCAAUCAACGAAAAUGAAUAAAACAUGAUGGAUAAACGACUAAAAAAUCAAAGACGAUCAUUUUUCAAAAUUUCGAACGAUUCUACCGAUGAUGUUGUCAUUGACGAAUGUGACAUCAGCGCCGAGUCACGAUCGAUUACGCGAAUCUAUGUACAAACGUUAAUGACGUUUGUUGCACAUGCGUUUUAAAGCGCAUAUUCAUGUACAGGUAGACGCAGAAAUGGAAUAUCUGCAAAACUGGCAGAAAGAAAAAUUUCUUUUCCUCGAUCAAUGCUAAUAAAUAAUUGAUAAUGUGAAAAUGAGAAAAAAAAAUAAAUAAAUAAAAAAAAAAAAA
rnacentral:lncRNA from 1 species